UACGGGGGGAGCAAGCGUUGUUCGGAUUUACUGGGCGUAAAGGGCGCGUAGGCGGUCGUGACAAGUCACUUGUGAAAUCUCCGGGCUUAACUCGGAACGGUCAAGUGAUACUGUCGGACUAGAGUACAGAAGGGGCAACUGGAAUUCUCGGUGUAGCGGUGAAAUGCGUAGAUAUCGAGAGGAACACCUGCGGCGAAGGCGGGUCGCUGGGCUGAUACUGACGCUGAGGCGCGAAAGCCA
rnacentral:rRNA from 1 species